rnacentral:rRNA from 1 species
UACGGAGGGUGCAAGCGUUAAUCGGAAUUACUGGGCGUAAAGCGCGCGUAGGCGGUGACCUAAGCUAGAUGUGAAAUCCCCGGGCUUAACCUGGGACCUGCAUUUAGAACUGGGUGACUAGAGUACAGUAGAGGAGAGUGGAAUUUCAGGUGUAGCGGUGAAAUGCGUAGAGAUCUGAAGGAACAUCAGUGGCGAAGGCGACUCUCUGGACUGAUACUGACGCUGAGGUGCGAAAGCGUGGGGAGCAAACAGG